rnacentral:rRNA from 1 species
GAUUAAGCCCGGUGAAAGCUGGGGGUGCUCGCAAGAGAACCGGAACACAGGUGCUGCAUGGCUGUCGUCAGCUCGUGUCGUGAGAUGUUGGGUUAAGUCCCGCAACGAGCGCAACCCUUGUCCUUAGUUGCUACGCAAGGGCACUCUAAGGAGACUGCCGGUGACAAACCGGAGGAAGGUGGGGAUGACGUCAAGUCCUCAUGGCCCUUAUGGGUAGGGCUUCACACGUCAUACAAUGGUCGGUACAGAGGGUAGCCAACCCGCGAGGGGGAGCCAAUCCCAGAAAGCCGAUCGUAGUCCGGAUCGCAGUCUGCAACUCGACUGCGUGAAGUCGGAAUCGCUAGUAAUCGCAGAUCAGCAUGUCGCGGUGAAUACGUUCCCGGGCCUUGUACACACCGAAUC